rnacentral:rRNA from 1 species
AUUGAACGCUGGCGGCAUGCCUUACACAUGCAAGUCGAACGGUAACAGGGAGCUUGCUCCGCUGACGAGUGGCGAACGGGUGAGUAAUGUAUCGGAACGUACCAUUCAGUGGGGGAUAACGUAGCGAAAGUUACGCUAAUACCGCAUAUUCUGUGAGCAGGAAAGCAGGGGAUCGCAAGACCUUGCGCUGAUUGAGCGGCCGAUAUCAGAUUAGCUAGUUGGUGAGGUAAAGGCUCACCAAGGCGACGAUCUGUAGCGGGUCUGAGAGGAUGAUCCGCCACACUGGAACUGAGACACGGUCCAGACUCCUACGGGAGGCAGCAGUGGGGAAUUUUGGACAAUGGGGGCAACCCUGAUCCAGCCAUGCCGCGUGAGUGAAGAAGGCCUUCGGUUGUAAGACGUCUUUCGGUCCGGGAAAAGUACGCAUCAGUUAAUACCUAGGUGUGGAGUGAUGGUACGGAAGUAAGAAGACACCGGCUAACUACGUGACCG